CUUAAUUUGGGACUUAAAGGGGAAAGUGGUUAGUUACACUUGUGUGUGUCUCUUAGCUCCCCUGAACUUCAGCAUCCCUCUGAGUCUGCUCACCAGUAACAUCACCACAGCAGCACAGAAGGAUGAAUGACUGUUCCAAUUAGCUGUCUCCCUGGAGGAUCACACAGAGAUCUCAGAACCAAAACAGCAUCAUGGCGGCACUCUGAGGAAAACAGUUCCACCCCAGCUGAAAUGAAGACCCCUCUCCUCCAUGUUCCUUAGCAUAGCUUUCAGGAGGAUCUGCUCCAUGAUCUUCCCUAGCACAGAGGUGAGGCUGACAGGUCGGCAGUUCCCUUGGUUGUCCUUUCUAUCCUUAAAAAUGGGUGCGACAUUGCCUUUUUUCCAGCCAUCAGGAACUUCACCUGCCUGCCAUUACUCUUCAAAUAUCAUCAAGCCAAUUCCCUCAGGACUCUGGGAUGCAUCUCAUGGGGACCCAUAGACUUACAGAUGUUCAGGUUUCUCGGGUGUCAGAGAACCUGAUCUUUGCUUACAGUGGGAGGGGCACUGCUCCCCCAGUUCUAACCUUCUGAACUGAACAAGCCUUUCUUGUUCUUUGCUAAAGUCCAGUUCCAGCUGGGUCUUGACCUGUCUGAUCCCAUCCCUACACAGCCCAGAAGCAUCCCUAUACUCCUCCCAGAACACCUGUUCCUGCUUCCACUCGGUGACAUCCUGCUGUCUGACAAAGAUUCACAGUGGUUAGUCACUGGAUAUCUCAGUGUGACAUUAGUAUAAACAAGCAAUUGGAAACAUUGCUAAAAUCAGUCUUCAGUCUGGUAUCAAGCACAGAAUAAAGGAAACUGUAUUGAAAAUCAAAAUAAAACAUCAGGAGUCCAUGUUGAGGUUUGAUCUCCUCUAGCACCUAAGAUAUGGUUUACUUUUCCAACCACUCCAAAGCCCUAGUCUGCAUCGAUGCGGAUAGGAAUGGACAGUGACCUUCAGUCAGUUAUGCCAGGGUUCCUGCAGGCUUCAGUGCAGCAGACGAGAGGUCAGUGAACUCUUUCAGUGGGCUAAGGGCAGGCUCCUGUUUGCAUUUGCCUACAAGAAUGCAGAGAGAGGAAACCUGAAAUGCGUCUCUCCAGUUCACUGGCUAGAGAUGAAAAUACAAACUGUAAAAUGCUUUUAUUCUCCACAAGCACAGAGGUUUGGGGUGUCUCAGUGACUGCAGAUUGUCACUGCUGGCCCCAUGGGAAGCAGAGCUCUGCUCCUGGGGCUGCUCCGACACACCGUGAUGAAUCCCAGGAGACCUGGGGAUGCCCGCUAGGGUCUGGCCUGCGGGAGGAAGAUGCAGGGUUUGGAGGGGGGUGAUGGUUGGGCGUGUGGUCUGGGUGAGCGCAGGGAUAAGCAGCAGAGGGGACAGCCACAACAUGGGGUUUUCUGAACUUCUCACCUUUUUGCACAGUGGUUUGCAGCAGAAGGGCCAAGGGAAGAGUAGAUCUCACUCUUACCUCCACUCAGACCUUCCCGGCUCUAAGAAACACACUGCUCCAAACGAACGCUGCUGCAGUGCUCGGUGUUUAACUCCCCAUGCAGCACAGAACUACUGUCAUUGUCUUCAAUGGGGCUUUGCCUGAGAAAAAAACAGGGAUUGAAUUAGUUAUUUGCUUCAGAGAUCAUCUUAGGUGAGUCAUACCUAUAAGCAGCUUGGAAAUGUGGCAAUUCAGAGCAGUAUAUGGAAUGAACUAGACUGUAUCUAGACUGUAUGUGAGUGUGUUCUUCCACAAACUAACAGGCGCUGUGCUUACCACCAAUACCAACCAGUAACCAAACCCACUGGAAUAUCUCCAUCCAUGCAACUAAAGAAAAAGCCUUAAAUAGUUUAUAGUUCAGAGUUAAAACAAUUCAUUAACAAUAAGUAACUCGUAUAACUGGGAUCAGUAGGUGAUUUUUUCUGAGCUCUAUCAUUUCUAGGUAUGUACGUUACAGCCACAGGCAAACACAUUGCACUGCUCUGCUUUUUACACUGUGGUGUGCAGCCCAACCACGUAUACAACCCUCACGUUUCUGCCUCUCUCUCUCAAAUCAUAGUAUGAAUCUCAGGCCUUUAAAUUAAGUUUAUGCCAUGCUUCUGGAUGCUGCCGAGCGUCGUGUGCAAGAAUGACAUCAUUGUUUCUGGAGUUACGACCCAACAUGAAAAGAGGAAAAUCAGAAGCAGACUUUUUAAGAGGAAAAUAUCAAAAGAAAUGAGCACCAUGAAUGCAGCAUACGGUGCUUCUGGGUGCCGUAAACGUUUUCUC
rnacentral:lncRNA from 1 species